rnacentral:rRNA from 3 species
GCGACCCCAUGUCAGGCGGGACUACCCGCUGAAUUUAA